UAUAUACGACAUCCGUUCCAACUUUCCAAAUACUCUUCACAUUUCUCUGCGGCUAUAUUUGUUUACAAAAAAUAUGUUUGAGAUUAAAUUAUUAUUUUUUGGACUAUUUUAUUUCAUUAUAAGAGAUAAAUAGUCCUUUAAAUAGUCUUAUACAUUUUUUACAGGUUAGUAAUUCAGUGCAAUAUUUCUUGCUAUCUGAACGGAAGGACUAGAAGACUGACAAAGAAUUACAUUUUCUUAAAUUAGAAAUUGUAUAGAAUUAUGUUGGAAGUUUUAAUAUGUGUAACUGGCAAUUGUGUAUAGAUUGAUAUAUUCAAUGAAUAAAUAAUGAUUGAUUUGAUAUGAGAUUGUAUAAUGGUGAUUAGUUUGUAUUUAAAGUUGUAUACACUAAUAAGAGAAAUCAUUAAAUGAAUAUGAUUUCGAAAUAUAUAUAAUCGUGAAGGUUGCGAUUCAGGGAAUGAAGAAGGUAAGGAAAACAUAAAAAUUUUAAUUAUCUGUAUUUUUGGCUGUUAUUUCAUCUUUGCAUGAUGUACAGCUGAUUCGAAAUAGUAUCAAACGCACAAGGUGGAGACUAAGUUAGUCCUAGUAUGGGAUUAAGUUGUCUCGAUUUUGGAGUUAGAGUCAAAUUAGAGUUAGAGUCAAGUUAGAGUCAAGAGCAAGAAGAAGGGGAAACAGAUACAAACUUUAACAAGAAGGCGAAGUGCAGAGGUUAGUUUCAGAAGAACAGAGCAUGCCCGCCACGACCAAUUUCAAAGACAGAGUAGUGUCAAUAGUCAGUAUCAGCAGCAUCAAGAGUUUUCGUCUCAUAGAAAUCAGAGAUGGGUUCAUUUGCCAUGACAAUUUGUGAAACAUUGAGGGGAUUUGGGGUCCGAGUUUAGCUGCUUGUUUCCUUGCAAACCAUCUUGCUUUUCAGAAAGUAGUGAGAGAAAAAAGGGAGAGGAGAAGGUGGGAGGGGAAGGGAAUAUAGGUGGGCAGAGUCCUUCUGGGGCUCUGUUCGGGAGGUGGUUGGUGGCGGUUCAAGAUGUUUUAUUGGGUAUUAGAAUAAAACAGUUGGUUAAAAAAAUAAAAACUGUUAGUUUGCUAAUUGCUUGAACAUUCAUGUUUUGUCUGUGUUUUGGACUGUUAUUGUUUGAUGUAUAACUAAAGGAGAUAGGUUGGUUGUGUGGAGACAUAAGGAG
rnacentral:lncRNA from 1 species